AGGAUUAACGCUGGCGGCGUGCCUAAUACAUGCAAGUCGAAUGGUAGCAAUACCAUGGCGAACGGGUGAGUAACACGUAGGUAACCUGUCUUUAAGCCGAGGAUAACCAUUGGAAACGAUGGAUAAUACUGGAUAGGACAUUUGAAGGCAUCUUUAGAUGUUUAAAGAUUUAUCACUUAGAGAGGGGCCUGCGGCGCAUUAGCUAGUUGGUGAGGCGAAGGCUUACCAAGGCGAUGAUGCGUAGCCGGACUGAGAGGUUGAACGGCCACAAUGGAACUGAGAACGGUCCAUACUCCUACGGGAGGCAGCAGUAGGGAAUUUUCGGCAAUGGGCGGAAGCCUGACCGAGCAACGCCGCGUGAACGAAGAAGUAUUUCGGUAUGUAAAGUUCUUUUAUUAGGGACGAAAAGACAGAUUGACGGUACCUAAUGAAUAAGCUCCGGCUAACUACGUGCCAGCCGCAGC
rnacentral:rRNA from 1 species